rnacentral:lncRNA from 1 species
CUGGUCUCGAACUCCUGACCUCAGGUUAUCUGCCUGCCUCUGCCUCCCAAAGUGUUGGGAUUACAGGCAUGAGCCAUCAUGCCUGGCCAAUUCACUUUAAUUAUGGAAAACUUUCUUAAAUGACAUCUCUCACAUCAGCAUCUAUGAGUUUGUAAACUGAGGUUCAGAUGCAUCUCAUGAUGCAGAUGCCAUCAAGUCACUUCCCUGCCUCCAACCCUGCCCUGGCUCUCCAUUGUCUGAGAAUGAAGGCUCCUCAUGGCCCACCACAGAAGAAGCAGGGGCUCAGCUUCCACUCCUGCUUCCAGGCCAGACAUCACUAAUCAAUCAUGGCAUCUUGCUGGCUGUGUCUGAAUACAGUCCCAGAAUCCUUUGCAGCACUGCCCACUAGGCAGCCACAUGGGUCUGAGCUGGUCCUUAAGAAGGCAAGUAGUUUCUCUAUUUUACCCCCAUUUCCCCAUUUUACUGCUUCUUAGAUCCAGAUAUACCAUUGGCAGAUACAUUUGCAUCGCAGAGGUGGUGGUUGUUUCCUCCAAGAAUAUUAAUAAACUUAAAACACACUUUUGAAUUGAGUGCAUUUUAGAGCUGAAAUAAAAGCAGCAUCUCCUUCCCUGGUCUCCUGGAGUUUCCUCAAAGUCCAUAUGAGAGGAUCCAUGCUGGCCCCCGUCUUCUCCUCCUGUCUCUGUUAGCCAACACCAGCAGGCUUGUCCUUGCCUCCCUGUUUUCUUCCCUUUCCUCCCUCCACCCCAAAUAUUCCCGGGAAACAUCCAUUCAUUCAUCUUUAAAGACUCAACUUAAAGAUCUCUAGGGAGCUGUCCCUGACUGCACAAUGUCCCACCCAGCACAGGAGUGGGGAGGAGGUCACAGCACAGGGUCACUCUAAGCCCUGCCUGCCUCCCUCUCCCAGACUGUCCUAGAGGACAGGGCUCCCUUCACGUCCUUCCUAGUGCAGGGAGAGGCUCUGCUAGGAACUCCUAGAGACAGGAAGAGCACCACAUGUGCCUUGGAGAAGUCACCACAGUCCAGCUCAGAGUUACACAGUUCUCCAGGCUUGGGGGUUACUGACCCACAAUAUCAAGCAGUCAAAACUUGAGAGCCAAUUGAUUAGCCCACAGUGAAAAGCAUAACAGCUUUUCUUGCUACCCAGCCAAGAGGCUUCCUUACCCGAGGUUACUUGGCAACGGUGGACUCAAUACAGGAGCAGUGACUGAUGGGCCUGGAACGUGGGGUGGCGUCAUGUCUGACAGCUGCCCCAGUAUCUCCUCAGUGUAGAGGACCAGGUGGGCAGACCAGGUCACCUCCCUGGAGCGUGGAGGCUGGCCCUUCCCUCGCAUGGCCACAAGGGCAGGACUCAUGGCCUUCAGUCUAUGACUCCAGCUGCCCUCUUGAUGGACACAUCGUGUCCUCAGAUAAGGACACACCUUGACACUGGCCCUCGAGGCACUCCCUGCACACCUGGGAGACCUCCACUCUCCCGCCAGCAGCUGCGCUCGGCUUCCUCAUUUGUCUUUCUCAUUUGCUGCCAAUGGCCACCCACACCUGGCACUGGGUGGGAGAUCUGAAUGAGUGGGCGCUCCUAAGCUUCUCUUCCAUAGGUGCAUGGGUUAGCAAUUCGGAAACAACUUUCUGGGUAUUUUAGAACUGGGCAAAUAAGUAACCUGGAGCCAGGUUUCUCAUUAUUAGAGAAAGAAGUCACAAAUCUCAAGGGGAAGGUUACGAUCCUUUUGUAGCUUGUAAGCGUGAUGAUUGGAUGUUUGCAGGAGCGUGUGUGAUGUGCCACCUCGCACCUUGCUACAACAUCGGCACAGUAGCUGUGUGACAUGAGAAAUAAUAAAUAAAGGGGAAGGUUAGACUAAGUCCUAGAGUGUGGGGUUGGAAUUGGAAGUAUCAGCAGGAACUCAUAAUAGAGAGAGGGAGAGAGAGAAAUAUAGAGAAGUGGACUCUAUGGUUUUCUUCUUAGCUCUGACCACUGAGAGGUCCUAGGAGUGAUGGCAUGCCAGUAGCAAGAAGCACACACACCUGACACCCAGAUCCUUGUUUCUGAAUAUCAGACCCCACUCAAAGGAACCAGAGCUCCUGGAGAAAUGGCUGAUCCCAGGGCUGGUACAGGGAAGGGACAAGAUGAGCCUGGAACAUCUUGUGCCAGAAAAUAAGGAAGGGCUCUUAUGAUGAUGGGGACACGUCCCAAGGAGACAGGAGCCAGUUUGAAGCUGUCCCCAUGGCCAAAUCUAAAACAAUUUGAGCAUCAAAAUAAAUAAUGAUUGUAAAUGAGUAUAACUCAUAGAAAAAUAAGAAUCUCUAAGUCCACAUGGUAUAAAUCAACCAAUAAAUGAGUAGAGAAAGCUCUUCUGUAGAGUUGAGGGCCAGCUAAUAGGUAUAGAAGGAUAGAAUUAGUCCUGUAAGCCCAGCUACUUUGGAGGCUGAGUCAGGAGGAUCACUUGAGCCCAGGAGUUUGAGACCAGCUAGGGCAAAAAAGCAAGACCCUGUGAAGAAGAAAGAAGAAAGAAGAAGGAGAAGGAGAAGAGGAAGAAGAAGAAGAAGAAGAAGAAGAAAAGAGGAAGAAGAAGAAGAAAGCAGAGGAGGAGGGGAGGAGGAGGAGGAGAAGGAGGAGGAGGAGAAGAAGAAGAAGGAGAUUAGAAAAUCACCAUCAUUUGGUAAUUUGGUAAUAUCACAGUGACAAUUCAGACAAAGAUCACCAAUGGGUGCUGAGGCUAGUGGUGACAGUCUUAUGAGAAACAAGAUAUUUAUAUGGCUUCAGAGUGUCUCCCCACAAGACACUUACUCAUGACGGGGGUAAAAUAGUUAUUUAUGGAGUAAAAACCUGGCAAACAGCAUUUUGACCAAGUGAUGAAACAAGUCGGCAACAUAUGCCUCCUGAUACGAUGUACUGAGGAUGCACCAUCACUUCUGGGUAUUCCUGCCCGAAACCCACAGCCCGAAUCUCACCACAACUGAACAUCAGAUUCAGCCAAACUGAGGAACAUUCUACAGAAUAACUGGCCAGGCGUCCUCAAAACUAUCAGGGUCAUGAAAACAAAGACAGAGGAAUUACUCAGAUUAAAGGAGAUGAAAGAGACACGGCAACUAAAUGCAAUAUGUAGCUGAAUUCAGUCCUGGACUAGAAAAUAAUCUGGGGGCCAACAAUGUUCUUGUUGGGAUAAUUGGAACCAUUGGAGUAAGAUCUGAAGAUCAGAUGAUAGUGGUAUUACAUCAGUGAACUUCCUGAUUUUGAUAACUGCAUCAUGGUUAUAUAAGAGAAUGCCCUUGUUGUUGUUGUUGUUUUCCCCUAGGAAAUAUACACUGAAGUAUUUAGAGAUAAAAGUGCAUCAUAUUUGCGAUUUUCAAAGGUUCCUAUAUAUAUAGAUAGGAGAAAAGGAAUGAGAAUGAGAGAGAUGAUGAAGUUAAUUGGAAAAAUGCUAAUAUUUGGGGAAACUGGGUGAAACGUGGAAAUUCUUUGUACUGCUCUUGCAACUUUCCUGUUAGUCUCAAAUUAAGACUUAAAGAUUUUCUGGAUAAAAGCAUAAAGAAUUAUCUAGUAUGGUCUGGGGAACUGGCAUGCAUUCAGUUUGUGGUGGUCAUUAUUAGAGAAGAAGGCAGCUUGUAGGGCCCCCUUAACUAGAGGUAUUAGAAUGUUCUAGGCCAGGGCUUUUCAAACUCUUAUGUCCCCUAGAAUCACUUGGGGAUCUUGCUCACUGCAGAUUCUGGCGCUGGUCUGGGUGGGGAUGGAGAGUCUGUAUUCCCAACAGGCUCGCAGGUGAUGCUGAUGCCGCCUUCCUGCUGGUUCAUGGAUCACCCUUUGGGCAGUACAGGGGUAGAUGCCACUGGAAUUUAGACCAUGGGUUCCCAAGCCUGCUGCACUUUGGGACCACUGGAGGAACUGAUGUUCAUGGGUCUUCUCUGGUGAUUAUCAUGUGCUCCAAAGGCUAAACCUUCACACUGAUCCUGCAUCCUCCUUUCCAUCAUUGCAAAAGCAGACCUUAGGUAUAAGGACUGCCAUGGUGUCCCAGCAGAGCCUUUGCUGCUGCUUUACUCCAUCCUAUACCCAGAAGGCAGAUGAAUCUUCCUGCUCUCCCAUGGUUCAAACGCCCACUGUGGGAGGCAGGUGUGAACUCCUCACCCAGACAGCAAGCCCUCUGUGGUGUGGCCACAACCCACUUUUUCUGGCUUCUCUCCCGGGCUUCUCUGUUGUUUGAUACCUGACUUCCCAGAGAGCAGCUGCUCAUAGUCCUGCAGCUGGGUUCCACGUUGACGCAUCUGCAGCUGUGAUCACUCUCACCCGCAUGCAGCAGCGGUCUCAGCCUCACUCGGGUCUCCCAGUAAGAAGCACCACAUGGUCCCUUCCUCCAUGGGGGCCAUGCUUCAGAUGUCACAGACCCCACCCCUCACUGUGCCCUCUCGGGGGGCCCACAUUUCUCUAGGAGAGAAAACUGGCUGAGAGCUGGAGACCUGGGGGCUCAGACAGGCUCUCCUCACUCAGAGCAGGGGAAGAAGGUGUCUGCUGCUGGGACACAGCAUCCCAUUUGCAAUCACCCAGGACAGGGCUCCACUCCGUGUGGUGUGUGGGAAAGGGCAGGGAGGCUGGGGUAUUGCUCUGGAAUUCUGGCCUGGCCACCAAUUCCUUAGUCCCCUCCCCAGCUCCCCACCCACCCACUUACAGACUCUUUACCCUCCCUCCUUCUACCCAGCACGUGGCUGGGAUCCAAAGGACCUGGAGGAAAAUAAGUCACAGGGAGGUGCCACCUGGAUUGUUCCCUCGGGAGAGGGCUCGGCCCAUGAGAGAGCAGCAUGCGUUAGGCCACAGAGAGUGGGGCUGAAAAUCAAAUUUGAGAAGGGGGAUGCAGGAUCUGGGAGUCAUCCGGAGACCACCCUUUCUCCAGUUCCCCCAUCGCCUUCUCCAGUUCUCUCACCCCCUUCUCCAGUUCUCCCACCCACUUCUCUAGGCAUCACUUUUCUGGAAAUAGAUUUCCUCCUGAUCCCACACCUGUCCUUCCUCCAGGUGCCCU